rnacentral:rRNA from 1 species
GGGUUGUGAGGUUAAGCGACUAAGCGUACACGGUGGAUGCCCUGGCAGUCAGAGGCGAUGAAGGACGUGCUAAUCUGCGAUAAGCGUCGGUAAGGUGAUAUGAACCGUUAUAACCGGCGAUUUCCGAAUGGGGAAACCCAGUGUGAUUCGUCACACUAUCAUUAACUGAAUCCAUAGGUUAAUGAGGCGAACCGGGGGAACUGAAACAUCUAAGUACCCCGAGGAAAAGAAAUCAACCGAGAUUCCCCCAGUAGCGGCGAGCGAACGGGGAGCAGCCCAGAGCCUGAAUCAGUGUGUGUGUUAGUGGAAGCGUCUGGAAAGGCGCGCGAUACAGGGUGACAGCCCCGUACACAAAAAUGCACAUGCUGUGAGCUCGAUGAGUAGGGCGGGACACGUGGUAUCCUGUCUGAAUAUGGGGGGACCAUCCUCCAAGGCUAAAUACUCCUGACUGACCGAUAGUGAACCAGUACCGUGAGGGAAAGGCGAAAAGAACCCCGGCGAGGGGAGUGAAAAAGAACCUGAAACCGUGUACGUACAAGCAGUGGGAGCACGCUUAGGCGUGUGACUGCGUACCUUUUGUAUAAUGGGUCAGCGACUUAUAUUCUGUAGCAAGGUUAACCGAAUAGGGGAGCCGAAGGGAAACCGAGUCUUAACUGGGCGUUAAGUUGCAGGGUAUAGACCCGAAACCCGGUGAUCUAGCCAUGGGCAGGUUGAAGGUUGGGUAACACUAACUGGAGGACCGAACCGACUAAUGUUGAAAAAUUAGCGGAUGACUUGUGGCUGGGGGUGAAAGGCCAAUCAAACCGGGAGAUAGCUGGUUCUCCCCGAAAGCUAUUUAGGUAGCGCCUCGUGAAUUCAUCUCCGGGGGUAGAGCACUGUUUCGGCAAGGGGGUCAUCCCGACUUACCAACCCGAUGCAAACUACGAAUACCGGAGAAUGUUAUCACGGGAGACACACGGCGGGUGCUAACGUCCGUCGUGAAGAGGGAAACAACCCAGACCGCCAGCUAAGGUCCCAAAGUCAUGGUUAAGUGGGAAACGAUGUGGGAAGGCCCAGACAGCCAGGAUGUUGGCUUAGAAGCAGCCAUCAUUUAAAGAAAGCGUAAUAGCUCACUGGUCGAGUCGGCCUGCGCGGAAGAUGUAACGGGGCUAAACCAUGCACCGAAGCUGCGGCAGCGACGCUUAUGCGUUGUUGGGUAGGGGAGCGUUCUGUAAGCCUGUGAAGGUGUACUGUGAGGUAUGCUGGAGGUAUCAGAAGUGCGAAUGCUGACAUAAGUAACGAUAAAGCGGGUGAAAAGCCCGCUCGCCGGAAGACCAAGGGUUCCUGUCCAACGUUAAUCGGGGCAGGGUGAGUCGACCCCUAAGGCGAGGCCGAAAGGCGUAGUCGAUGGGAAACAGGUUAAUAUUCCUGUACUUGGUGUUACUGCGAAGGGGGGACGGAGAAGGCUAUGUUGGCCGGGCGACGGUUGUCCCGGUUUAAGCGUGUAGGCUGGUUUUCCAGGCAAAUCCGGAAAAUCAAGGCUGAGGCGUGAUGACGAGGCACUACGGUGCUGAAGCAACAAAUGCCCUGCUUCCAGGAAAAGCCUCUAAGCAUCAGGUAACAUCAAAUCGUACCCCAAACCGACACAGGUGGUCAGGUAGAGAAUACCAAGGCGCUUGAGAGAACUCGGGUGAAGGAACUAGGCAAAAUGGUGCCGUAACUUCGGGAGAAGGCACGCUGAUAUGUAGGUGAAGUCCCUCGCGGAUGGAGCUGAAAUCAGUCGAAGAUACCAGCUGGCUGCAACUGUUUAUUAAAAACACAGCACUGUGCAAACACGAAAGUGGACGUAUACGGUGUGACGCCUGCCCGGUGCCGGAAGGUUAAUUGAUGGGGUUAGCGCAAGCGAAGCUCUUGAUCGAAGCCCCGGUAAACGGCGGCCGUAACUAUAACGGUCCUAAGGUAGCGAAAUUCCUUGUCGGGUAAGUUCCGACCUGCACGAAUGGCGUAAUGAUGGCCAGGCUGUCUCCACCCGAGACUCAGUGAAAUUGAACUCGCUGUGAAGAUGCAGUGUACCCGCGGCAAGACGGAAAGACCCCGUGAACCUUUACUAUAGCUUGACACUGAACAUUGAGCCUUGAUGUGUAGGAUAGGUGGGAGGCUUUGAAGUGUGGACGCCAGUCUGCAUGGAGCCGACCUUGAAAUACCACCCUUUAAUGUUUGAUGUUCUAACGUGGACCCGUAAUCCGGGUUGCGGACAGUGUCUGGUGGGUAGUUUGACUGGGGCGGUCUCCUCCUAAAGAGUAACGGAGGAGCACGAAGGUUGGCUAAUCCUGGUCGGACAUCAGGAGGUUAGUGCAAUGGCAUAAGCCAGCUUGACUGCGAGCGUGACGGCGCGAGCAGGUGCGAAAGCAGGUCAUAGUGAUCCGGUGGUUCUGAAUGGAAGGGCCAUCGCUCAACGGAUAAAAGGUACUCCGGGGAUAACAGGCUGAUACCGCCCAAGAGUUCAUAUCGACGGCGGUGUUUGGCACCUCGAUGUCGGCUCAUCACAUCCUGGGGCUGAAGUAGGUCCCAAGGGUAUGGCUGUUCGCCAUUUAAAGUGGUACGCGAGCUGGGUUUAGAACGUCGUGAGACAGUUCGGUCCCUAUCUGCCGUGGGCGCUGGAGAACUGAGGGGGGCUGCUCCUAGUACGAGAGGACCGGAGUGGACGCAUCACUGGUGUUCGGGUUGUCAUGCCAAUGGCACUGCCCGGUAGCUAAAUGCGGAAGAGAUAAGUGCUGAAAGCAUCUAAGCACGAAACUUGCCCCGAGAUGAGUUCUCCCUGACUCCUUGAGAGUCCUGAAGGAACGUUGAAGACGACGACGUUGAUAGGCCGGGUGUGUAAGCGCAGCGAUGCGUUGAGCUAACCGGUACUAAUGAACCGUGAGGCUUAACCUUACAACGCCGAAG